GACGAACGCUGGCGGCGUGCUUAACACAUGCAAGUCGAACGGAAAGGCCCUGCUUUUGUGGGGUGCUCGAGUGGCGAACGGGUGAGAAACACGUGAGUAACCUGCCCUUGACUUUGGGAUAACUUCAGGAAACUGGGGCUAAUACCGGAUAGGAGCUCCUGCUGCAUGGUGGGGGUUGGAAAGUUUCGGCGGUUGGGGAUGGACUCGCGGCUUAUCAGCUUGUUGGUGGGGUAGUGGCUUACCAAGGCUUUGACGGGUAGCCGGCCUGAGAGGGUGACCGGCCACAUUGGGACUGAGAUACGGCCCAGACUCCUACGGGCGGCAGCAGUGGGGAAUAUUGCACGAUGGGCGGAAGCCUGAUGCAGCAACGCCGCGUGCGGGAUGACGGCCUUCGGGUUGUAAACCGCUUUCGCCUGUGACGAAGCGUGAGUGACGGUAAUGGGUAAAGAAGCACCGGCUAACUACGUG
rnacentral:rRNA from 1 species